GUUUGCUGUAGCAGAACAUAUACUAACAUUGGAACAAUACAGAGAAGAUUAGCAUGGCCCCUGUUCAGGGAUGACAUGUAAAUUCACGAAGUGUUCCAUAUUUUU
rnacentral:snRNA from 1 species